rnacentral:rRNA from 1 species
AUUGAACGCUGGCGGCAUGCUUUACACAUGCAAGUCGAACGGCAGCGCGGGCUUCGGCCUGGCGGCGAGUGGCGAACGGGUGAGUAAUGCAUCGGAACGUGCCCAGUAGUGGGGGAUAGCCCGGCGAAAGCCGGAUUAAUACCGCAUACGACCUGAGGGUGAAAGCGGGGGACCGAAAGGCCUCGCGCUAUUGGAGCGGCCGAUGUCGGAUUAGCUAGUUGGUGGGGUAAAGGCUUACCAAGGCGACGAUCCGUAGCUGGUCUGAGAGGACGACCAGCCACACUGGGACUGAGACACGGCCCAGACUCCUACGGGAGGCAGCAGUGGGGAAUUUUGGGCAAAGGGGGCAACCCUGAUCCAGCCAUGCCGCGUGCGGGAAGAAGGCCUUCGGGUUGUAAACCGCUUUUGUUCGGGAAGAAAUCCUCUGGGCUAAUACCCCGGGGGGAUGACGGUACCGGAAGAAUAAGCACCGGCUAACUACGUG